rnacentral:lncRNA from 1 species
GAGGAACACUCCCAUUUCCCACCAAUGUAACGAAACGCAUUGUUCUAGGUAUAUUCACCUUCUCCCUAGACACGCGCGUACAUUAAUUAAUUAAUUAAUUAAUCAAUAUUAUCAUUAGAGAUUAUUAAUCAAUAAACUCAUCAUAAUUAAGUAGCUACUCUUCCAAAAAAAAAAAAACCAGGUACGUACCUAUAAACACCAGAAUUAAUACGCAGGACGACCCUACGAGCAGGGGCGGAUCCACCUAUGAUCUAGGGUGUGCAGUUGCACACCCUUGGAUUUGGAGAAAUAUUACUGUUAUAGAUAAUUUGUCAAAAAAGGCUGUUGGUUGAGGUGGUAAAGGUAUUUUGAAUCCACUAAUAGGUCAUGGGUUCGAUUCCCCACUCUCUCCAAAACUGACUUCUUUUUAAAAUCUUAACAUUUUCACAUUUUUUCUCUUUAAAUAUUCCACAAUUCACCCAAAAUUUUUAAAUUGUAAAUUUUUGGUCCACUAUUUUUAACAAUCUUAACAUUUUCACAUUUUUUCUCUUUAAAUAUUCCACAAUUCACCCAAAAUGUUUAAAUUGUAAAUUUUUGGUCCACUAUUUUUAACAUUUUCACAUUUUUCUCUUUAAAUAUUUCCACAAUUCACCCAAAAUUUGUAAAUUGUAAAUUUUUGGUCCACUAUUUUUAUAAAGUGAUAUUUAAAUUUUUUAUUCUACAAUUUCGAACCCCCUUGGCAACAAUCCUGGAUCCGCCACUGCCUA